UACGGGGGGGGGCAAGCGUUGUUCGGAAUUACUGGGCGUAAAGGGCUCGUAGGCGGCCAACUAAGUCAGACGUGAAAUCCCUCGGCUUAACCGGGGAACUGCGUCUGAUACUGGAUGGCUUGAGUUUGGGAGAGGGAUGCGGAAUUCCAGGUGUAGCGGUGAAAUGCGUAGAUAUUAGGAGGAACACCAGUGGCGAAGGCGACUUUCUGGACAUUAACUGACGCUGAGGCGCGAAAGCGUGGGGAGCAAACAGG
rnacentral:rRNA from 1 species